AGGAGGUCGAGGGUUCGAGACCCGCUCCCUGCCUGUUUCAUUACAAUAUGAACAAAUAUAAAUCAUUGUUAAUGGUUCAGACAACAAAAUGUCAUAUAUCAUGAAUGGUUAUUUACACUUUUCUACUAUUACAUGAGACAUUUAAAAAUAUAUAUACAAAUAUUUCCUGACACGGAAGUACUUUUUUGUGUUGACGAGAGGCUGAUCAUGUGACGAGUUCGCGAAUCAAAAUUCCCACUUGUGCUGCCACUGGACAGCAAAAAACAAGUUGGAACCAACAUGCAGUACCUCCAGCAGGAAGAGAGGCAAGAACCAUUGGUCCGCCAGUUCAGUGACAAGCUACACUAUUCACAGCCUUUUGUAAUUUUCAAUGUAAUUGUAUUGCUGGACUUUUUGAAACUUUAUGUAUUUGCAUUGUUUUAAAAAUGUACAAAUAAAAGGAAAUGUAUGGAUUAAA